UAGAAAGUCACAAUAAAUGAACAGAAUGUAGAGGAGGGGUCAGCCCAUAAAAGGGAAGAAAGUUUCAUUAUUGGGAAAUGGAAACUUAAUCAGGGAAGGGGACCAGAGUAUAACCUUAUAAAGGGGAUAAUGAAACUUAGGCAAUAUCUGGAAAGAUUGUAACCCCAUAGUACUCAACCAAUGAGGAACUGGGGGAGGGACUUGCAUGCUAGGAGAUAAAUUACCUGCUGUAACUGCCCCGGGUAUGCCUGCCUACCAGACACCUGAUCUUGCAAGACUGCCAUUAAAAGUCUCGCUUCUGCUGUUCUUCCUAUCUCCAAGUAUCUUCCUUGAGUUUGGAUGGGAGAAUAUGUUUCUUACAAACUUGGGAAUCCAUCCGGGAUCUCUGUGUUUGCAUGGAGUGGGACUCUGGCCAAGAGGGGAGAUGCAGCCCACUCAAUUUAGGAGGCCCACUCUGUCCGGGUGUCCCAGCUCCCCAUAGAGGCCUUAGACAAAUCUGAGACUGUUAUUCAGGAGGCAACAGAGGCAACACAGGGAAAAAAGCAGGCACCACAACAACCAGGUAACCUGGUGCACAAGCCAAGUUCACCACUUCCAGCCUGGCGACUUGGUGCUGAUCAAGACUUGAAAAGAAGACAAGCUCCACCCAAGCUGGGAAGGUCCCUAUCAAGUGCUCCUGACCACUGAGAUGGCCGCGCAAACAGCUGAACAGGGGUGGACUCACUAUACUCAAGUCAAGGGACUGGUAACAGAGACCCCAGAAGAGAGAGGAAAAAGACCAGUGGAAAGUGCACGGGUCAGCUGAGGAACCCUUAAAGUAAACUUUGAGAAAAAUCUAAAAAGAAAAAAUGGGCUGGCCCCAUUUCUGAAAGUUAAUAUGGCUGGGAUAGGCUACUAUACAAAGAGCAGAAGCUCAAAAUGUAAAAUGGCAGGGGACUUCUCCCUACCCAAUAAAUGUAACCAAGAUGGUAGCACCCCAGACUGUAAGAUUUGAUGCCUGCCAGGUCUUACUCUGUGGUAAUUUAGAAAAUCAGAGACUGCUCUUGCAGGCGAAUAAAUAUAUUUGCCCUAAACCAGAUACAGGUUACAGUAGGGCAUCAUCCUGCCCCAGCUGGGAUGAUGUAUGGUAAACUGAUCAAUUUCAGGGUUGAAGAGUAAACAUGAGAUGAGUAACUCUGAGCUGGAAACCCUUAAAGAAUAAACUACAGCUGUCCAAGGGAAGGGCUCCUUGCCAAAUAACUGUCAGAAUUUAGAAUGCAAUCCUAUACUCAUCACCAUUGACAAUCCAGAUGUUCUAAACCAAGAACCAAAAGUAGCAUCUCGGGUAUAUGGGUUAGGGGCAGACAUCACAAGGAAAGACCCCCCUACGGCAAUUUGUUCUCAAACCAAUCAAGAACUCAACCUCCCAUUUGCCUGGGACUACUCCAACCCCAAACCCUAAUAAACACUUUAGUCCACCAAAUAAUAACCCUAAAAGAGUAAAAAUAAUUGAGGUAAAGGAUUUAAGGCAAACCUUAAAAAUUAAAACAGGGUACAGGGAUGUGAAUGCCUGGGUGGAAUGGGUCAAAUUUUGUGUACAAGCCCUCAACAAGAGUAACUGCUACACGUGUGCUGUAGGACAACCUCAGGCACAGGUGGUUCCAUUUCCCCCAGGAUGGGAUACCGAUCUUGAAGGAAUGCAUUGCAUGUUGGCUCUAUACCAAAACGAAGAUGCAUGAAGAAAUGAGACUUGUAAGAGUCUCUCAUUGCUCUUUCCCACAUUGCAGAGGUCAGAUCCAAGAGCAAUCCCCUUGUUCUCUGUAGGAAAUAUGAACCACUCCUCUUGCCUCUCUAGGCACGUGGCAGAGUUCAAUAAGCCUGUGGUAGAAUUCUCGACUUGUACCCACAUCCUAAACAUCACUGGUGAGUCAGGCAAUGGCAAUUACUCAGCCCUCACAUACCCUGGGCUAAUGUCUGGUGGUAUUGUGGGAAAAGGAACCUCCAUAACCUGUUACCCUCCAAUUGGACUGGGACUUGUGCUAUAGUCCAAUUGGCCAUUCCCUUCACCUUGGCAUUCCAUAAGAUACCACAAAAUACACAUGGCCACCAAAACCAGAGAGAUUUGACAAAUUCUUUUAAUCUCAAUAUAUGUGUUGACUCAAUAGGAGUCCGUAGUGCGGUGCCUAGUGAAUUUAAGGCCCAAAACCAAAUAGUGGCUGAGUUUAAGUGAACACUCUUCUGGUGGUCAACUAUUAAUAAGAAUGUGAAUUGGAUUAACUACAUCUAUUAUAAUCAACAGAGAUUCAUCAGUUAUACUCGGGACACCCUCAAAGGGGUGGUUAGCCUAUUAAAUGCCACCAGCCAAAUGGCCUGGGAAAACAGGCUUUCACUAGACAUAAUCCCAGCAGAAAAAGGGGGUAUAUGUGUUAUGCUGGGUAGGAAAUGUACUUUCAUUCCCAGCAAUACUGCCCCAGAUGGGACCAUCACAAAAACUUUACGAGGACUGACAACUCUAGCCAACAAACUGGCACAAAAUGCUUGCAUUAAUAACACAUUUAUGGGUUGGCUAAAAGGUUGGUUUGAAAAAUAAAAAGGCUUCAAUUUUUACAUCUCUCAUAAUUGUAGCAGGAGUCUUAACAGCUGUGGGAUGUUGUAUUAUCCCCUGUGUGAGGGGACUAGCACAGAGAUUAAUUUAAGCAGCUAUUAGUAAAUAAAUGUCCAUGCUUUACCAGCAAAAUAACCUGCUACUAGUAGAAUCCAAAUUAAACUCACUCUUCCAUAAGGAAGAAAGUGACUUCUAAAGUGAUUCAAGGACCAAAAGAGUUUAAAUGAAAUUGAGACCAAAGGAAGUAAAUAGAAAAGAGGAGGGAAUUUGUAAGAAAAUAUUUUAAAUGGUCCAUUUUCAAGGCAUGAUAAUUCUAAGUACUGGCAGCCAGCCUGCGAAUGUGACAAAUUGCAUGGCUCAUGCACCUAGAAAGUCACAAUAAGUGGACAGAAUGUAGAGGAGGAGUCAGCCCAUAAAAGGGAAGAAAGUUUCAUUGUUGAGAAAUGGAAACUUAAGUGGGGAAGAGGACAGGGCAUAACCUUAUAAGGGGGAUAGUGAAACUUAGGCAACGUCCGGGAAGACUGUAACCCCAUAUACUCAACCAAUGAGGAACAGGGGGAGGGACUUGCGUGCUAGGAGACAAAUUACUUGCUGUAACUGCCCUAGGUGUGUCUGCCUGCCAGACACCCAAUCUUGCAAGACCGCCUUUGAAAGUCUCGCAUCUGCUGUUUUUCAGGUCUCCAAGUCCAUUCUUUGUGUUUGGACUGGUGAGUGUUUCUCACACUCUAUAAUCGCAAAGUAGGGAGGUAUCUCUUCAAGAAGACAAGUGUCAUUCAAAUAUUUCUGCAUAACAAACCAGUACAAAACUUAGUGGCUUAAUGUAAUAAACGUUUGUCAUUGCUGAUGAUUCUGCAAGUCAGCAAUUUAGGCUGAGCUCUGCAGGGCAAUUAUGGUUACACUCACGCAACUAUGGCCAGCUUCCAGUUUAGCUUGGGACUGGCUAUUAGCUGGGGCAACAGGGGAGUCUGAGUCAUACAUCUCACCAUCCAGUAGGCUACCUUAAGGUCAUUUACAUGGUGGCUGGCAGAGUUCCAAAAGAGAGCAAAAUCUGGAAGGCUUCUGUGCUUAGAACUGGCACAGCAUCACUUCCACAUUCAUUUAGCCAAAGCAGGAGUAGAAAUUCAAAAGAGUGGAAAUAGAUUCCACAUCUAGACAAGAGGAGCUACCAAGGCACGAUGUACAGUCAUGAAUACCUAGAAAGAGAAUAUUGCAUCCAUUUGUGCAAUCUACCAGGAGAGAUAAAAUAUAUAAACCAUAAAGGAAAAGAUUAAUACAUUUGAAUACAGUAAAAUUAAAACUUAUAUAUGAAAAAAGAUACCUUGAAUAUGUAUUACUUUUAUAAUCAUAAGGCAAAGUUAAAAAUUAAGGAUUUAGGAUGCUGUACCCGACCACAUUAUUAUUGUUUUUAAAGCACUAAAAUAUAAUAUCUAUGCAAAAAUCUGAACUUCCAAAAUGAAGAAGUUAUUAAAUCAAUAAUUUUAUUAUGCUUGAAAGUGUUCUCCUCAAACAGAUGCAUUACAAACUUUAGUUAAAUAUUAAAGCCCUCCUACUGCAUUUGAAAAAUAAUUCCUUCCCCAGAAACUGUUAUUCCGGGAGAUAUCUAUUAUACGAAAUAAGGUGUGUGCCUAUGUAAAAUUUUAAGUGUUUCACCAUCUUAAUUUCUUUCAUUCCAGAAAAAUUAGCAAACCAAUCACCAGAAUCUUGGAGGGAAGUUCUCUUUUUAAAGAAGCAAUAAACCAGGGGAGCUGAUGUCUUUUCUGUCUUCAGGAAAGAGUAAAUAAAAGAAGGAGUGUGUCCAGAGAGUGAAAAUGUUUUUUCUCGAUCAAUACUCAAGAGUUUGACCUCUUCCUUUUUCAUGACUUUGGAUGUGCCCCAAACACCAGACACCGCUAUGGUCCUAUCUCUGUGGCCCACUUCAAAGCCAAAUAUGAAAAAUUUGGAGUCAGGCCAUGUCAUGAGUUAUCCUAGUAACUUAUGCCCCUUGACAGUGUGAAGAGAGGGGGUUGAGGUUUCUCAAGAACAUUAACACAAAUGCACCUCUGUGGGCAGCAAGAAGCCUGCUGGGUGUGUCAAAAUCAGAAGAAAAACUUUCAGCUGAGAAAAGCAGUCCUGGUUCCUCUCUGGGUAUCCAGAUAGGAUUGGUAACAAAUAAAGGAGAGAGAGGGGUGAGGGGACCACAGGAUCCUCCAGAUGCUUCUGUUUCACCUUCCCCCCAUCUUGUUUAGCCACCACACCAGCCAGCACCCUGGAAAGAGCCAGGGCUGGCUUAGAAACCUUACGUAGAGAACACUGGGGUAGUGAGUCACCACUGACUUUGAAGGGCCAUCAAAGGUGACAGCUGGGAGGUGAUGUGGUCUUUCUACACAGCCAUGCACAGCAGCUUCCUGCCAAAGGAGGGAGAGACACGAAUCACACCCGCAGGGCUUGCUGGCCCAGGGAGGGGGAUGGCCAGGAUGAUGCCACAUUUAUAUAUGACCAGGGCCCUGUGAGAAGGGGUUCUUCAAUUCAAUAAAAUGGCAGCAUCAUGGCCCUGGGCCAGCUGGCUCAGGCCUGGGAGGCCUUGAAGCACU
rnacentral:lncRNA from 1 species